UUUAACUUCCUGACUCAUCUUCUCUUUCUCAUUUUAUUUCCUCUUACAAAUAGGUCGGUUUCCACGAGGAGAAUUGAGGGGCUAUUACUCUCUAGUGUCUGUGAACACAUUCAGAGAGGCAAGUAGGAAGUAAAAAUGAUGCGUCUUGGAUGCCAACAUAAUUUUCCAGGGAUGCCACCUACGGACAUAUAUGGUCUUCUUUCUUUUCCUGCGGCACAGAUUAUCAAUUCACAAGCAGUGACUGGGACUGGAGUUUUAUUUCCCUCAGAGUAAGAUUUGGCUGAAAAACAUGUUUGGGGGCAAGAAGAUCACGGAA